rnacentral:rRNA from 1 species
GACGAACGCUGGCGGCGUGCCUAACACAUGCAAGUCGAACGGAGUUAACCGCUGAAUUGAAGGUAGCUUGCUACUGAAUUUUCUUGGUUAACUUAGUGGCGGACGGGUGAGUAACGCGUGAGCAACCUGCCUUACAGAGGGGGACAACAUUGGGAAACCGAUGCUAAUACCGCAUAACAUAUAUUUGUGGCAUCACAGAUAUAUCAAAGGAGCAAUCCGCUGUAAGAUGGGCUCGCGUCCGAUUAGAUAGUUGGUGAGGUAACGGCUCACCAAGUCGACGAUCGGUAGCCGGACUGAGAGGUUGAACGGCCACAUUGGGACUGAGACACGGCCCAGACUCCUACGGGAGGCAGCAGUGGGGGAUAUUGCACAAUGGAGGAAACUCUGAUGCAGCAACGCCGCGUGAGGGAAGAAGGUUUUCGGAUUGUAAACCUCUGUUUUUAGUGACGAAACAAAUGGCGGUAGCUAAAGAGGAAGCCACGGCUAACUACGUGCCAGCCGCCGCAGUAAUAC